AAAUGAAUUGACGGGGACCCGCACAAGCGGUGGAGCAUGUGGUUUAAUUCGAGGCAACGCGAAGAACCUUACCAAGGCUUGACAUCCCGCUGACCGGCACAGAGAUGUGCCUUUCUUUCGGGACAGCGGAGACAGGUGGUGCAUGGUUGUCGUCAGCUCGUGUCGUGAGAUGUUGGGUUAAGUCCCGCAACGAGCGCAACCCCUAUCUUUAGUAGCCAGCGUGUAAAGGCGGGCACACUAGAGAGACUGCCGCGGAAAACACGGAGGAAGGUGGGGAUGAGGUCAAAUCAUCAUGCCCCUUAUGUCUUGGGCUACACACGUGCUACAAUGGCUGCAACAGAGUGAAGCGAACCUGCGAGGGGGAGCAAAACACAAAAAAGCAGUCUCAGUUCGGAUUGCAGGCUGCAACCCGCCUGCAUGAAGUUGGAAUCGCUAGUAAUCGCGAAUCAGCACGUCGCGGUGAAUACGUUCCCGGGUCUUGUACACACCGCCCGU
rnacentral:rRNA from 1 species